GUGGGGAAUAUUGGACAAUGGGCGAAAGCCUGAUCCAGCCAUGCCGCGUGUGUGAAGAAGGUCUUCGGAUUGUAAAGCACUUUAAGUUGGGAGGAAGGGCAGUAAGUUAAUACCUUGCUGUUUUGACGUUACCGACAGAAUAAGCACCGGCUAACUUCGUGCCAGCAGCCGCGGUAAUACGAAGGGUGCAAGCGUUAAUCGGAAUUACUGGGCGUAAAGCGCGCGUAGGUGGUUUUGUAAGUUGGAGGUGAAAUCCCCGGGCUCAACCUGGGAACUGCCUCCAAAACUGCAUGACUAGAGUACGGUAGAGGGUAGUGGAAUUUCCUGUGUAGCGGUGAAAUGCGUAGAUAUAGGAAGGAACACCAGUGGCAAAGGCGACUACCUGGACUGAUACUGACACUGAGGUGCGAAAGCGUGGGGAGCAAACAGGAUUAGAUACCCGAGUAGUCC
rnacentral:rRNA from 1 species